GAAAAAUUUAAUUUAAUGUAAUGAGAAAUAAUGGGGCUCAAACGAGGGCUAAAUCUCUCGCCACCAAUUCCCCCUUGGUAUCUCUGGAAUGUUCCAUUAUAUAUACAUACAUAUAUAAAUAAUGGGAAAGAGAGAGAGACUGGGUUGGAGGAUAGAGAGGGAUUAAGGAUUAAGUGCAGGAAAUCCACAUUCUUCUUUUCUCUCUCGAUUGAAAAUGGCAUUCCAAUUGCAAACUGGCCCAGAUUUUUCCACCAAAGAAGCAAACCUAAAGGAGGAAUUGCGAGAAUCUAAAUUCUUCGGCAUUAAUUGUUGGUUUUUUUUUGAACUACCAGUGUUUCUAGAAUCAACUACCUCAUGACUAGGAAAGGGUAUCAAUGCUAGAGAAAGAGCAAGAGAGCACCGUAGGUUUUUGAUUGCUCAUUUUCUUUUAGGAUGCCCAAAUAAUUAUUCUUUUAGAAUUGAUUAGUUUCUUUGUGAUAUCCUUUUGCUUUUUUCCUAUUUUAACUUUUGAGGAGUUCCAUUUUAUGAAAAUAUUUAUGUCCCUUUUUUCAUCAUAAAGUAGUUUUUACUCUUUUUGCUUCAUAGAACAAGAUGUUACAAUUAAGGUUUUUUAAUUAUCUUUUAUUUGCUAUUUAAAUGCUUGAGCAGUAAAUUCUAUGAGGAAUUGAGAAAUAAAACAAGGUGACAGUGACAACUUAUUUUCUUUAUUUGUAUUUUAUUUAACGGUUUGAUUUUAUUAUCAGCCUGGGAGUGAUUUUUUGGCCCAAAAAAUUGAUUUUUUUUACCGUUAUUUCACUAUUUCAGCCGUCAUAUUUAAUUUCUUCUUUCAUAGCGUACUCCACUUUUAAUCAAAAAAUCAAUUCUCAAAAUGACUCCCAAAUAGCCUCUAUAUCUUUAUCGUGGCUCAUCUUUGAUUGUGUUUUAUAUGUGUCUGACUAUAAGGAUGCAAGGUACUUCAAGAACAAGUUGCAAAGAAGGCAGCACAAGUUGCAAGGGGUGCCUAUGCUAGAGGUAAAAACAACAAGAAAUAGAAAAUUUUCUUGUUCAUGAGUUUCACAAUAUAUAUUUUUUUGCUUAUAAUGAGCUUAAUGUAGUUUCUCCAUUCAUUUUAUGUUUAAUAUCUAAGAAUUAGCUUAUUAACAAUGUAAAAAUAAAAUUGAGAUAUUUGUUUGUUUUUCAAUUUUAAAAGUUGCUACAUUUUAGAAUUUUUUUUUGAAUCGCAUAAUUAAAAUUUCAGGUAUGUUGAGCUUUCAUUUGAUUUUGUUUGGUUUGGUUCCCUGAUUCGAUUUUUAUACAAGAAUAUAGCAUCCAUUGAUUGUGUAGCGAUAUUAGGAGUUGGAGUUCUAAUGUCAUCUUCUUUUGUGUACAUAAAGGCUUUACAUUAUUCUAUUUGAUUUUAUUUUGCAAUCCUUGUAUUUCGAAGCAGUCUAUUAUUUGUCUCUGAUUAUUAAAAAUACUCUUUUUUAUUACAUUUCUAUUCAACAAGUCUAAUUUCAAAUCCUUAAACAAUCUCUCCUUAGCUUUACGGUUCCCCUAUCAUUUUAAAAUUAGAGUUUCAUUCAAGAAAACCUUUUCAUCAUUCUAGACAGCAGAAGGUGAUUGAUUCUCAAAUUGUUGGGAAAAUAAUAAUAGUGCAUUGCAACCCAAAAUUGAUAUAUAAACAUGGAGAAAAAGAAACAUAGACGAUCGAUGCAUUUCAAAUAUAAGCUAUUCAAAGCAUACAUGGCACAUCAUUAAAGAAUCAGUCGAGUGUGAAAAUAUUCAUUCACUUCCCACAUGUACUGGUUUUGGAAGAUGAAGAUUCUUUUGUUUAGGACAUCUGCAAAGAUUACAUUGACAAAUUUUUAGUACGAGUUUUAUGGAUAAAUAAAGUACGAAGUGCUAUAUUUGGUCCUGAUUUGCAGAAUAUAUAUCGAGCAUCCCCACAGAGAAAAAGCUGAGUUAAAGAUGAAAAAUUCCAAGCAAAGAAUGCUGUUUAUGUGCUUCGAAAAUCAAGAAAGGUAAAUGUGAUAAUUUCUUUCUGCUGUUAUAUUGGGAAUUACUACCAGAAAAUGUCUUUGGAUUUUCUUUUCUCUUUAGAAAUUGUGGAGCUUAGAGUUGUGAACUUCAUUAAGCCAUUUUAUUGAUAUUCGAUAGACAAUCUAGAUUGAAUUUAUUCAUUUGCCUGCUUUUUCUUUUGUGGACCGACAAUAUCUAAAAGAUAGAAACAAUAGACAACAUCUUCUGCAGGAAAGGAGAAGACGUUUUGCUAGUGAGUUGGGCUUGGGUUUGAAAGGCCUGUUAUUUGAGGAUCUUUACAGUGAAAAGUAACUCUUGAAGAGCUCUGAAGAUAGCUUACAGCCCUAAAUCCUGCAUAAUGUGUAUCUCCUCGCACUUAGAAUUGUGCUCAGAUAUGAACUGUUGUACGUUUCAAUUCAUAAUGUAAUCUGUAACCCUAGAUACUAUUGAAGAGAGCCUCAUUUAUGAAUCCUAUUACAUUAUUCUUACUUUUUGAGGUACAAUUGCAUUUGGUUAUAAUGAUUAAUUUGAUGUUCGCAAGAAAAUCUAGUGGAAAUAUUGUUUAUUUUAUAU
rnacentral:lncRNA from 1 species